UUUUUUUUGCUUUAGGGCUGGAUUUAUUUGCAAACCGCAGGAAGAAGAAAAUACAAGAGAGAGAGGGGUUUGGUGCAGCGCCGCGAUCACGGAUUUCAGAUGUGUGCUAAGCCUGUUGGAGU
rnacentral:lncRNA from 1 species